rnacentral:RNase_P_RNA from 1 species
GCAGACUAUGCGGUAGCGGAAACGUUUUAGUUUAUGAGGAAAGUCCGGGCAUCACAGGACAGGAUAACUGCUAACGGCAGCCGAGGGCGACCUUAGGGCAAGUGCAACAGAGAUAUACUGCCUCUUCAUGAGGUGAUGGUGGAAAGGCGAGGUAAGAGCUCACCAGGGUACAGGAAACUGUACCGCUAUGUAAACCCUAUCCGAUGCAACGUCUAUUGGUGCUUUAUAUCUUAACGUCUGUCCGGCGGAUAUAAAGUAAUGGCGGCUUGAGCCUGCCGGCAACGACAGGAGUAGAUAAAUUACCGCACUCGACAGAACCCGGCUUAUCGGUCUGGUCA